GGAGUGGAGUGCUGUAAAGUUUGUGGACAGGAUGUGCAAGGAGCCAUGCUUUAGCUGCCCUGCCUGCACUGCAGACAUGCUUGCCGUCUCAGUUGAUGGAAACCGCAAGCUUUAUCGCUUUCAGUCUAAUGCAAGCACUUCAGAGCAGGGGAACUUUGAAGGUGUCUUCAUUGAAAAAGAUGAGGAAGAUUCUGAGUUUGUGAAAUACAUCCAGAGACACACAAAUCAUGUCCCAGGGAAAGGGUUGUGCGGAUCUUCAUCUUGGACUGCAGCAAAGGAGUCGUCCAAAAAGUCCACUGGGAAGUUGGAUGAAGAGGGCGUGGAAAUAGCUGUUUGUCACCACGGAGUCCUCUUAGCUGCAUUGAACAUGUUUCGAGGGGAGAUCUUUGCUUACCCUCUUUUUCUCCAGAGGAAGUUGGCAGCUAGCUUCCCAGGACAUAUUACGUUCCUUUGCUCUGAUGUGGCCUGUAAAUAUUUCCC
ensembl:lncRNA